rnacentral:misc_RNA from 1 species
AAAAAAUGAAGUGAUAAUUGCGCAAUAAAGAGAGCCCAAUGCCGCCCCUUUAUUGGAGCAGAAGAAGAAGAAAGUAAAAGCAUAGACGGAAGAGAUGAAGUGUUACGCUAAAGUCUGUGUUACAGUAGCAACUGGAUAUGUUGGUUCCUGGCUUGUUAAAAAGUUGUUACAGAGAGGCUAUACUGUCCAUGCAACAGUGAGAAACUUAGAUGACCCAUCGAAGGUAGGCUUUCUAAAGUCCCUCCCGAACGCGGAAACCAACCUGAUUCUAUUUCAAGCUGAUAUAUACAAAAACAAUGAGUUUGAGCCUGCAAUUGAAGGCUGUGAAUUUGUUUUUCACGUCGCUACUCCGUUGGAGCAUGACCCCAAAAGCUCUCAGUACAAAGACAGGGUUGAAGCAACGGUGGCAGGAGCGAAAAGCAUAGUUGAUACUUGCAUCAGAUCGAAAACUGUUAAGCGUCUCAUCUACACUGCAACAGUUCUGGCAGCUUCUCCAUUGAAUGAAGAUGGGAACGGCUUCAAAUCUUGUAUGGAUGAAACCUGUUGGACACCUCUGCAUCUCUCUUUUUCUUAUGGCAACGACUACUUAAUGGAAUAUAUCAAAGGGAAGACGCUAGCAGAGAAAAAGGUUCUAAGGUACAAUGAAAUUGAGAAUGGUAAACUAGAAGUGGUAACUCUUGGUUGUGGUCUGGUGGGGGGAGAAACUAUUCUGUCCCAUGUACCUUCAAGUGUACGAGUGAUUCACUCACAGAUUACAGGCAAUUUAUUCGGUGAUUAUCAUGUAUUAAAAUUCAUACAACAAGUUUUGGGUUCAUACAACAAGUUUUGGGUUCAGUUCCUCUUGUUCAUAUUGAUGACGUUUGUGAAGCACAUAUCUUUUGCAUGGAAAACCCAUCAAUGAAAGGUAGAUUUCUCUGUGCUGUUGCCAAUCCAACCACCAGGGAGAUUGGCAUUUACUUCGCACGACACUACCCAGAAUUCAAGAUCGAAGAACAAUUCUUGGGGGAACCAGAAAGAGAAAUCAUAUUGAAUUCGUCAAAAUUGAAAGAGAUGGGAUUUGUGUAUAAGUAUGACACGAAGAAAAUCUUAGAUGAGAGCUUAGAAUGUGGAAGGCGAAUAGGAGCUCUUUCUCCCGCAGCAGAAAUCAGCUAGAAGAGAAGGCUGCGAUUGGUAAUAAUAUAAGGUUUUAAUAGUUGUGAUUAAUUUAAUGUCACUGUUUGUAUUGUUAUUGAAGGAUUAUUAUUUAGUAUUUCUAAUUGCUUCUUGUAAUAUUAUGUCUGCAAAAUGCAAAUGGCUACAAUUGGCCAGUAAUCAAAACGAGUGAACCAAUAUCAAUAUUCUUUCACGCCUUGAAAGAGACAAAAAGGUGAAGGGGACAAAUUACUUGCAUCCAAUUACUUGAGAAGACGAUUGGUUGCCCUUUUUUUGUUCUCACCCCAACAAACUUG